rnacentral:rRNA from 1 species
UGAGGAAUAUUGGUCAAUGGACGCAAGUCUGAACCAGCCAUGCCGCGUGCAGGAAGACGGCUCUAUGAGUUGUAAACUGCUUUUGUACGAGGGUAAACGCAGAUACGUGUAUCUGUUUGAAAGUAUCGUACGAAUAAGGAUCGGCUAACUCCGUGCCAGCAGCCGCGGUAAUACGGAGGAUCCAAGCGUUAUCCGGAUUUAUUGGGUUUAAAGGGUGCGUAGGCGGUUUUAUAAGUUAGAGGUGAAAUCUCGGAGCUCAACUCCGAAAUUGCCUCUAAUACUGUAGGACUAGAGAGUAGUUGCGGUAGGCGGAAUGUAUGGUGUAGCGGUGAAAUGCUUAGAGAUCAUACAGAACACCGAUUGCGAAGGCAGCUUACCAAACUAUAUCUGACGUUGAGGCACGAAAGCGUGGGGAGCAAACAGG